rnacentral:rRNA from 1 species
UACGGAGGGUGCGAGCGUUAAUCGGAAUAACUGGGCGUAAAGGGCACGCAGGCGGGUUUUUAAGUGAGAUGUGAAAUGCCCGGGCUUAACCUUGGAAUUGCAUUUCAGACUGGGAGUCUAGAGUACAUUAGGGAGGGGUAGAAUUCCACGUGUAGCGGUGAAAUGCGUAGAGAUGUGGAGGAAUACCGAAGGCGAAGGCAGCCCCUUGGCAAGGUACUGACGCUGAUGUGCGAAAGCGUGGGGAGCAAACAGG